rnacentral:rRNA from 1 species
AUUGAACGCUGGCGGCAGGCCUAACACAUGCAAGUCGAGCGGAUGACGGGAGCUUGCUCCUUGAUUCAGCGGCGGACGGGUGAGUAAUGCCUAGGAAUCUGCCUGGUAGUGGGGGACAACGUUUCGAAAGGGAACGCUAAUACCGCAUACGUCCUACGGGAGAAAGCAGGGGACCUUCGGGCCUUGCGCUAUCAGAUGAGCCUAGGUCGGAUUAGCUAGUUGGUGAGGUAAUGGCUCACCAAGGCGACGAUCCGUAACUGGUCUGAGAGGAUGAUCAGUCACACUGGAACUGAGACACGGUCCAGACUCCUACGGGAGGCAGCAGUGGGGAAUAUUGGACAAUGGGCGAAAGCCUGAUCCAGCCAUGCCGCGUGUGUGAAGAAGGUCUUCGGAUUGUAAAGCACUUUAAGUUGGGAGGAAGGGCAGUAAGUUAAUACCUUGCUGCUUUGACGUUACCGACAGAAUAAGCACCGGCUAACUCUGUGCCAGCCGCCGCAGUAA